rnacentral:lncRNA from 1 species
GUGUUGAAAUCCAUACACAAAAGUCAUUACUACGGCGUGUUGUGCAGCUUUGCAAUAUUUUUCAUGACGAAAACAGUUAUUUUCAUUUAUUGAUAAUGAAUUCGAAGUAAAUAAUACCUGAAUACUAUCUUGAAUUCAAAAACAUCAGAAUCAAAAUAGUUAAGUUUGUGUCUUUUUUUUUCUUUUCUUGUUUAGCAUUUGGCAGCCUCCAAAUUUUACGGAGAAUUGUCAUUGUAAG